AUUGAACGCUGGCGGCAUGCUUUACACAUGCAAGUCGAACGGCAGCGCGGGCUUCGGCCUGGCGGCGAGUGGCGAACGGGUGAGUAAUACAUCGGAACGUGCCCAGUCGUGGGGGAUAGCUCGGCGAAAGCCGGAUUAAUACCGCAUACGACCUGAGGGUGAAAGCGGGGGAUCUUCGGACCUCGCGCUAUUUGAGCGGCCGAUGGCAGAUUAGCUAGUUGGUGGGGUAAAGGCCUACCAAGGCGACGAUCUGUAGCUGGUCUGAGAGGACGACCAGCCACACUGGGACUGAGACACGGCCCAGACUCCUACGGGAGGCAGCAGUGGGGAAUUUUGGACAAUGGGCGAAAGCCUGACCCAGCAAUGCCGCGUGUGUGAUGAAGGCCUUCGGGUUGUAAAGCACUUUUGGCGGGAACGAAAAGGACUGUGCCAAUACCACGGUUCGAUGACGGUACCCGCAGAAUAAGCACCGGCUAACUACGUG
rnacentral:rRNA from 1 species